UAGGGAAUCUUCCACAAUGGACGAAAGUCUGAUGGAGCAACGCCGCGUGAGUGAAGAAGGUUUUCGGAUCGUAAAGCUCUGUUGUUGGUGAAGAAGGAUAGAGGCAGUAACUGGUCUUUAUUUGACGGUAAUCAACCAGAAAGUCACGGCUAACUACGUGGCAG
rnacentral:rRNA from 1 species